GAGAUGAGAAAAAGACACUAAAAGCGUUAAAAAUCAUAAAAUUUGUGGCAUAUAUGCAGUGAAUGGCACAUUUUUGUGAUGCUCAAUCAGGCGUGCUCAUCUGGAGCAGCAGCAAACAUCAGUCAAGUGAUUGAAGAUUAAAGUGCAGCCCAGUCAUUGUCAAUGUGUGUUUGUGUGUGGGAGUGUGCGCUCGCUUGGCUGACAAGGACAUGGCAAAAGAUGAGAACAAUGGUUGGGCACAAUAAUCACAUUAUUUGGAAUCAUUUAAUUUCAACAAUGCCUCCGCUGCCCCCCCCGUCCCUUCUGUGGCAAGCUGAAACCCAAAGCUUGACAAGUCAGCCACAAGCCUUGGCUGCAGAGGCGCCACGUCAUCCGGCUGCCAAGUUACGAGCACAUUCAUUUAUGGGGCAUCAGCUAAACUUGAUGGCAGCUCAGCAGCAACGUGUCAUACUUGAGCAAAAGGCUGCGCGACAACAACAACAAUCACGAGGACGACAACGACAAUGACAACAAAAUGUAAACAGGGAAACGCCUUUCUGAGGCUGGAAAAGAGCCAUGUCUGUGGCAAUGAUUAGCAGUAUAUUUGCCUGACAUUGACAUCAAUCAUAAGCCAACAUCAAGAAGGGUAUUAUUUUCCAGCUAUUAGAACAAUAUUUGAAGUGGCAGAGUGGUGCUUGAGGCGUACUUAUAACUUAGAAACAUGAGCAAAGUAAAUACACGUACUUCUACUAAUUCCAAAAA